ACGUUUCACUUACAGAUCUUUUUCCAACUAAGAAUUUAAAGAUCUCUGAAUGAAAUGUGG
rnacentral:pre_miRNA from 1 species